UACGUAGGGGGCAAGCGUUGUUCGGAUUUAUUGGGCGUAAAGAGCGUGUAGGCGGCCAGACAGGUCCGUUGUGAAAACUAGAGGCUUAACCUCUAGACGUCGAUGGAAACCGUCUGGCUAGAGUCCGGAAGAGGAGAAUGGAAUUCCUGGUGUAGCGGUGAAAUGCGCAGAUAUCAGGAAGAACACCCGUGGCUAAGGCGGUUCUCUAGUACGGUACUGACGCUGAGACGCGAAAGCGUGGGGAGCGAACAGG
rnacentral:rRNA from 1 species